rnacentral:rRNA from 1 species
GUCUGUUUGAAGGUAUAAAAAGUUUAACCUGCCCACUGAUAAAUAUUAAUAUUAAAGGGCCGCGGUAUUUUGACUGUGCAAAGGUAGCAUAAUCGUUAGUUUUUUAAUUGGAAUCUUGUAUGAAUGGUUUGACAAAAGAAAAUCUGUCUUUAUAAUUAUUUAUUGAAUUUAACUUUUAAGUGAAAAGGCUUAAAUAAAUUAAAAAGACGAUAAGACCCUAUAAAGCUUAAUAUUAAAUUUUUAUUUUAUUAAAUUUUGGAUAUAAUAAAGAUUUGGUAAAUAAAUUUAUUUUGUUGGGGUGACAAUGGUAAAAUGAUUAUUAACUGUUAUUUUUUUUUAACAAAAAUAAAUGAAUAAAAAUAAUUUGUUAUGAAGGAUCCUAUAUUAAAGAUUAAAAGUUUAAGUUACUUUAGGGAUAACAGCGUUAUUUUUUUUGAGAGUUCUUAUCGAGAAAAAAGUUUGCGACCUCGAUGUUGAAUUAAAAUAUCUGUAUAAUUGUAGUAGUUAUAUUAGAAGGUCUGUUCGACCUUUAAAAUUUUACGUGAUUUGAGUUCAGACCGGCGUAAG